rnacentral:rRNA from 1 species
AUUGAACGCUGGCGGCAGGCCUAACACAUGCCAGUCGAACGGCAGCGGGGAGGAGGCUGCUUCUUUCGGGGGGAGAGGGGCGCGGGGGAGUAAUAAAUCUGGACGUGUCGAGUUGAGGGGGAUAUCAACCCGGCAGGGUUACUACAAACGCACAAAUGCCGAAGGAGGGAGAUCGGGGGAUCGUAAGAGGUCUAGCGAUUUUAGGGCGGACUAUGUCGGAUUAGCUAGUUGGUGGGGUAAAGGCGCACCAAGGCGACGAUCUGUAGCGGGUCUGAGAGGAUGAUCCGCCACACUGGAACUGAGACACGGCCCAGACUCCUACGGGAGGCAGCAGUGGGGAAUAUUGGACAAUGGGCGCAAGCCUGAUCCAGCCAUGCCGCGUGUGUGAAGAAGGCCUUCGGGUUGUAAAGCACUUUUGUUUGGGAAGAAAAGCAGGAGGUUAAUACCGCGCUGUUCUGACGGUACCUAAAGAAUAAGCACCGGCUAACUUCGUG